rnacentral:rRNA from 1 species
CCAGACUCCUACGGGAGGCAGCAGUGAGGAAUAUUGGUCAAUGGUCGGAAGACUGAACCAGCCAUGCCGCGUGCAGGAAGAAUGCCUUAUGGGUUGUAAACUGCUUUUAUAUGGGAAGAAUAAGGAGUACGUGUACUUUGAUGACGGUACCAUAUGAAUAAGCAUCGGCUAACUCCGUGCCAGCAGCCGCGGUAAUACGGAGGAUGCGAGCGUUAUUCGGAAUCAUUGGGUUUAAAGGGUCUGUAGGCGGGCUAUUAAGUCAGGGGUGAAAGGUUUCAGCUUAACUGAGAAAUUGCCUUUGAUACUGGUAGUCUUGAAUAUCUGUGAAGUUCUUGGAAUGUGUAGUGUAGCGGUGAAAUGCUUAGAUAUUACACAGAACACCGAUUGCGGAGGCAGGGGACUAACAGAUGAUUGACGCUGAGAGACGAAAGCGUGGGGAGCGAACAGGAUUAGAUACCCUGGUAGUCCACACCGUAAACGAUGGAUACUAGGAGUUGGCAAAAAUAUUGUCGGUUCCGCAGUUAACGCAUUAAGUAUCCCACCUGGGGAGUACGA